rnacentral:rRNA from 1 species
GAUGAACGCUGGCGGCGUGCCUAAUACAUGCAAGUCGAGCGAACAGACGAGGAGCUUGCUCCUCUGACGUUAGCGGCGGACGGGUGAGUAACACGUGGAUAACCUACCUAUAAGACUGGGAUAACUUCGGGAAACCGGAGCUAAUACCGGAUAAUAUAUUGAACCGCAUGGUUCAAUAGUGAAAGACGGUUUUGCUGUCACUUAUAGAUGGAUCCGCGCCGCAUUAGCUAGUUGGUAAGGUAACGGCUUACCAAGGCAACGAUGCGUAGCCGACCUGAGAGGGUGAUAGGCCACACUGGAACUGAGACACGGUCCAGACGCCUACGGGAGGCAGCAGUAGGGAAUCGUCCGCAAUGGGCGAAAGCCUGACGGAGCAACGCCGCGUGAGUGAUGAAGGUCUUCGGAUCGUAAAACUCUGUUAUUAGGGAAGAACAAAUGUGUAAGUAACUAUGCACGUCUUGACGGUACCUAAUCAGAAAGCCACGGCUAACUACGUG